rnacentral:rRNA from 1 species
UACGGAGGUGGCAAGCGUUGCUCGGAAUUACUGGGCGUAAAGGGCUCGUAGGCGGCCAACUAAGUCGGACGUGAAAUCCCUCAGCUUAACUGGGGAACUGCGUCCGAUACUGGAUGGCUUGGAUUUGGGAGAGGGAUGCGGAAUUCCAGGUGUAGCGGUGAAAUGCGUAGAUAUAUGGAGGAACACCGGUGGCGAAGGCGGCAUCCUGGACCAAUAUUGACGCUGAGGAGCGAAAGCCAGGGGAGCAAACGGG